GCAAGUCUACUUGAUCCUUCGGGUGAAGGUGGCGGACGGGUGAGUAACGCGUAAAGAACUUGCCUUACAGACUGGGACAACAUUUGGAAACGAAUGCUAAUACCGGAUAUUAUGAUUGGGUCGCAUGAUCUGAUUAUGAAAGCUAUAUGCGCUGUGAGAGAGCUUUGCGUCCCAUUAGUUAGUUGGUGAGGUAACGGCUCACCAAGACGAUGAUGGGUAGCCGGCCUGAGAGGGUGAACGGCCACAAGGGGACUGAGACACGGCCCUUACUCCUACGGGAGGCAGCAGUGGGGAAUAUUGGACAAUGGACCAAAAGUCUGAUCCAGCAAUUCUGUGUGCACGAAGAAGUUUUUCGGAAUGUAAAGUGCUUUCAGUUGGGAAGAAGUCAGUGACGGUACCAACAGAAGAAGCGACGGCUAAAUACGUGCCAGCAGCCGCGGUAAUACGUAUGUCGCAAGCGUUAUCCGGAUUUAUUGGGCGUAAAGCGCGUCUAGGCGGCUUAGUAAGUCUGAUGUGAAAAUGCGGGGCUCAACCCCGUAUUGCGUUGGAAACUGCUAAACUAGAGUACUGGAGAGGUAGGCGGAACUACAAGUGUAGAGGUGGAAUUCGUAGAUAUUUGUAGGAAUGCCGAUGGGGAAGCCAGCCUACUGGACAGAUA
rnacentral:rRNA from 1 species